rnacentral:rRNA from 1 species
GAUAAACGCUGGCGGCGUGCAUGAGACAUGCAAGUCGAACGGACGACCUCGGGCUUGCUCGGGGUCGUUAGUGGCGAACGGCUGAGUAACGCGUGGGUGACCUGCCCGGAAGUGGGGAAUAACUGCCCGAAAGGGUGGCUAAUACCGCAUGUGGCCAUACGUUCGUUCGUAUGACCAAAGCCGCAAGGCGCUUCCGGAGGGGCCUGCGUUCGAUUAGCUCGUUGGUGGGGUAACGGCUCACCAAGGCGACGAUCGAUAGGUGGUCUGAGAGGAUGAUCACCCAGACUGGGACUGAGACACGGCCCAGACUCCUACGGGAGGCAGCAGUCGGGAAUUUUGCUCAAUGGGCGAAAGCCUGAAGCAGCAACGCCGCGUGAGGGAUGAAGGCCUUCGGGUUGUAAACCUCUUUUCCCAGGGACGAUGAUGACGGUACCUGGGGAAUAAGCCACGGCUAACUACGUGCCAGCAGCCGCCGUAAUAC